rnacentral:rRNA from 1 species
UUGUCUUUCGGAGGAAAAGAAACCAACUGGGAUUACCUUAGUAACGGCGAGUGAAGCGGUAAAAGCUCAAAUUUGAAAUCUGGUACUUUCAGUGCCCGAGUUGUAAUUUGUAGAAUUUGUCUUUGAUUAGGUCCUUGUCUAUGUUCCUUGGAACAGGACGUCAUAGAGGGUGAGAAUCCCGUUUGGCGAGGAUACCUUUUCUCUGUAAGACUUUUUCGAAGAGUCGAGUUGUUUGGGAAUGCAGCUCAAAGUGGGUGGUAAAUUCCAUCUAAAGCUAAAUAUUGGCGAGAGACCGAUAGCGAACAAGUACAGUGAUGGAAAGAUGAAAAGAACUUUGAAAAGAGAGUGAAAAAGUACGUGAAAUUGUUGAAAGGGAAGGGCAUUUGAUCAGACAUGGUGUUUUUUGCAUGCACUCGCCUCUCGUGGGCUUGGGCCUCUCAAAAAUUUCACUGGGCCAACAUCAAUUCUGGCAGCAGGAUAAAUCAUUAAGAAUGUAGCUACUUCGGUAGUGUUAUAGCUUUUUGGAAUACUGUUAGCCGGGAUUGAGGACUGCGCUUCGGCAAGGAUGUUGGCAUAAUGGUUAAAUGCCGCCCGUCU